rnacentral:tRNA from 1 species
GCGCUCGUAGCUCAACUGGAUAGAGUGUCAGCCUCCGAAGCUGAAGGUUAUGGGUUCGAUCCCCACCGAGCGCACCA